rnacentral:rRNA from 1 species
AUGGGAGAGGUGGCCUACAAGUUGGAGUUACCCGAAGGAUUGUUAGGAGUUCAUGAUGUGUUUCACGUUUCCCAGUUGAAGAAGUGCCAUGCUGAGAUGGCCGAUACUCCUCUAAGAGAUACAGUGCCCCUGGAAGCAAUUCACUUAGAUAGUGACCUAACCUACGAGGAGAAACCCAUCAAGAUUCUCGAGUUUGCCAGCCGGGUUACCCGCAGCAAGGUUAUCAAGUUUUACAAAGUUCAGUGGAGCCACCAUACCGAGGAUGAAGCCACCUGGGAGCGAGAAGAAGACAUACGGAAAGACCACCCACACCUAUUUUCUAGCCAUUCGAAUCUGGAGGGCGAGAUUCAUCUUAAGGGUGGUAGGUUUGUAACCUCCCAAUUUUCAAUUUGGAUGUUAUACAUAGGUCAUAAUAUCCAUAUCAUAUUUUAUUUGGAUUUUGGAUGUGAUCCUAGAAAUCUUAAGCAACUCAAGGACCCAAGGAAAGAGUUGGAGAUUUCAUUCAUUUUCAUAUUUGAUUUUUUUUCAAAUUUGAAAAGAGGAUCAAUUUGA